rnacentral:misc_RNA from 1 species
UUAACUUAUUUAGCUAAUUGCUCAGACUGCAAUCUUCAGACAGCGUUCAAUGGUGUCUUCGGCGGGCCCGCCUCACGGCCGCCGGGGGGCUUCUGCCCUCUGGCCCGCGCCCGCCGAAGCAACAAGGUACGAUAAACACGGGUGGGAGGUUGGACCCAGAGGGCCCUCACUCGGUAAUGAUCCUUCCGCAGGUUCACCUACGGAAA